AAAAUAAAUAAUAAUUAUCGAAAAAGUGCAACAGCAACAUUUGCAUCUCAAACACAUACAACACAUGCCUUUAUGCUAUCGUUUUGUGCUUGGAACGCAAUUAAUUGACAGCACCAAAAAGUAUGCUUCACAAAUUUGUCACAACUUGUUACUAUAAUCACACAACUGAAGGCGAAUUAUUAAUUAUAAAUAUUGACUGCAAAAACUUUUAAAAUAGAAGAAAAACGGAAAACCAAUUCAACUAACUAACUGGCAACAACAAAAGCUUCAAAGCUGUUACCAUUAACGGAACUCACCGAAG